rnacentral:rRNA from 1 species
AUGCAUGACACAACAUUUCUGUGCACGCCUGAGGAUUCCAUCACUCCAAUCCUACCUCUGGUGCUGAGUAGCUUGGUCUCGAGGCUUUGGUUAUCCUUCUUCUUGUGGUUAGCCUGCACCUCCUCGCUGCUUCACACUAAUUCUCAGGUUUGGGUUUGGUCCAACUCCUGUUUGGUUCAGUUGUACCAGUGGCUAUCAAACUCUCACUACGGCUGGGUUGCUCUAUUUAUAGUGCUCUGGACGGGUGACUCAGCUGUGUGCUUGUUGUGUGUGCUGCUAGUGCUGUCCUUGCGUGAGUCUCUGGUGCUGGUGGUGUUGACAGCAGCUGCUUGCUGUUGUCAAGCUCUCCUUGAUGCCUAUCUUGUAAGCUGA